UCCACCUAAGACCACACCUCCUCCUGGUUCCACCUCCAUCCCUCUUCCUCCAUCACUCUCUCCUCCUGUUCUCUCUGUGUUGUCGUGUGUUGGAUCAGUCUGUGUUGUGGUUCUACUGGUGUUACUGGUUCUGCUGGGGAGACGAUGUGUUCACAGGAAACUUGAAGCAGAUCAAGAUGAAACUGGAGAAGAUAACAUCAUCACUCAUGUCAUGUACAACAUCAUCAAAGUAUCAGAUUGUAAAGAAGAGACAAUCAGACUAUGCAGAGGUAAAACUGUGUAUCGUUAAUAGGAUAACCAGAAUGUUAAAUUUGUUUCCAGAAGGACCUUGGUGGAUUUUUACAGUGAGGGAACAUAUAAAGAAAAUAAAAAUGAACGAAAUAAGGUCAUAGGUUCAUGAUGACUGUUGCUGAAAUUGAUGGCUUAUGUGGACAUUAAAUUAAACAUGUGAGGGAUGAUCAGAAGUGUAAAAAUGUUGUCACGAUCAGAUCCUGGAAUCACAAUAUUUAAUGUUUAUAUCUACUUUUUAAAUACAUUUUUGUCCUUGAUCUAAAAUGUGAUCAGCUCAGUCAGAUGCAACGUAUCUGUUUCACACUGUACUUACUGAGUGUUGUUCACUGUGAGCUGGACUGUGUGUUUGUGGUCUGUGGUUAACUGAAGCUAACAGCUCUGCAGUCGUCCAGCAUCCUGUUUCUGAUAGAAAGAAAACACUUCAGCUGCAGCUGUUUCAACACAGGACUGUUUAUUUUAAACACAGGAAGGAACAUGGAGACAUCAUCUGGAAAAGCAUUUCAAUAAACUUUAAUUUUGUAGUUUCUGUAACAUCCCGAUAUGUUGAACUUUCAUCUUGUUGAUGAUACCAGUUAUCUGUAUUUGUAGCCUGAAGCUGGUGAGACUUCUCACCGCAGGCUGUUCUGGUUUGACCAAUAAAA